UACGUAGGUGUCAAGCGUUGUCCGGAUUUAUUGGGCGUAAAGCGCCCGCAGGCGGCUUGCCAAGUCUGACGUGAAAUCUCCCGGCUCAACUGGGAGGGUGCAUCGGAAACUGGCAGGCUUGAGGCAGGGAGAGGGAUGUGGAAUUCCAGGUGUAGUGGUGAAAUGCGUAGAUAUCUGGAGGAACACCGGUGGCGAAGGCGGCAUCCUGGACCGACACUGACGCUGAGGAGCGAAAGCCAGGGGAGCAAACGGG
rnacentral:rRNA from 1 species